GCCUGAGUUGGUGGAAUUGGUAGACGCACCAGAACUCAAAAUCUGGAAUUCUCGGAAUGUGCGGGUUCAAGUCCCGCCUCAGCA
rnacentral:tRNA from 1 species